rnacentral:rRNA from 1 species
UGGGGAAUUUUGGACAAUGGGCGAAAGCCUGAUCCAGCGAUGCCGCGUGUGUGAAGAAGGCCUUCGGGUUGUAAAGCACUUUUGUCCGGAAAGAAAUCCUUGGCUCUAAUACAGUCGGGGGAUGACGGUACCGGAAGAAUAAGCACCGGCUAACUACGUGCCAGCAGCCGCGGUAAUACGUAGGGUGCAAGCGUUAAUUGGAAUUACUGGGCGUAAAGCGUGCGCAGGCGGUUUGCUAAGACCGAUGUGAAAUCCCCGGGCUCAACCUGGGAACUGCAUUGGUGACUGGCAGGCUAGAGUAUGGCAGAGGGGGGUAGAAUUCCACGUGUAGCAGUGAAAUGCGUAGAGAUGUGGAGGAAUACCGAUGGCGAAGGCAGCCCCCUGGGCCAAUACUGACGCUCAUGCACGAAAGCGUGGGGAGCAAACAGGAUUAGAUACCCUGGUAGUCCACGCCCUAAACGAUGUCAACUAGUUGUUGGGGAUUCAUUUCCUUAGUAACGUAGCUAACGCGUGAAGUUGACCGCCUGGGGAGUACGGUCGCAAGAUUAAAACUUAAAUGAAUUGACGGGGUCAUAGCUGUUUCCU